GUCUGCCUCUCUCUGUGGUGAACUCUUACUGGAGAAAACUGCCCUACUUUCUUGCCCUGGUAACUCUGUCCUACCUGGCAGCGUCUUUACGUGGAGCUCAGACAGAGAGCAGUUCCAGAUUUCCCACUGUCUGCACAGAAAAGUUCCCAGAGCUCCGAGGAGGCCAGGGUAUUGAAUUCCCAGCUCUGGAAACCGUGCUAUGGCUCAGUGUUGGGGGCCAAACCCAAAGCUGUACUGGUGCAGUGAAAGUACUCGCCUACGAAUCGGCAGCCUAACCAGGCUUCUGGUCCAACGCCUGCCCUGAGCUCACGGAAGACGACAGUACACUGUGGCCUGUUUUCUGGUGGAUUCAGAAGUGUCUGAUAAUGCAAUAGUUAAGAAUUAUGUUCAUUGGUGCAACAUAAAUCCAAGAGAAAAGCUCCGACAAGACAUUGGACAGGAGAGAAGAUCAGGGACAAUAUUAAAGCUGAACCCAAGGGUGGAGGAGGGCCAGAGAAACAGCCAGCGCUUGAGAGCAGGCGUUCAUCGCAAAGAAUCAUUGGUCUGGUUCAAGGCCCAUAGUCUCUGAUACAUCAUCGAUACCAGGCCCGCACUGGGACCUUUCCUGGACAUCCUGCUGCUGCCCUGUGUUAUGAAGAUCCUGCAGCUCUGUGUCCACAGAAUCAACCCCGCCUCCCCUGCUUCAGAAGAUCACAGAUAGGGUGGAUGUUGGGGUGGGCCAACACAUAACCUUAGCUCUGGACCUGGGUAGGAGCAGGGUUGGUCAGCCUGCCUGCUCUCCCCUGUCUUCACCACCAGGGUGAGCUCUCCAGCAUGGCCCGGCUAGAUGCCCCAAUGAGCAAGGGGCGGGGCCAGCUCUCCUGCUUUCACAUCCUCAGGGUCCGAGAGCUGCUGCUUUAAAGGAUCAGAAACUCACAGAUUUUGUCUUCAUCUAUAGAUUGUGCUACACGCAAAUGAUCUUGUUGCAGAAAAAAAAAAGGAAGGGGACAUAAAAGGAGGAUAAAAUGACAAAGAUAUUCUUGUCUAACUGAUGCACUUACAGGUAUACAGGAAGCAGUUUAGGGUAAAAUAAAUUUUUAAAAAUGUUAAAUAAAUAAAAUAAAAAAGAAAAACUUGCUUUGAUUUUAA